UCUCCGUCGCACGUCGUCUCUUUCGCAAAGCUACUGCUCGAUUUCUUUCGCGAAGAUUUGGGUAAGUUGUAAAAAGAUUCACAUAAAAUGUUGUUGAUUAAUAUAAAAUCGAUAUAUCACAUGGUGCUUUGGGUUCUCCUUACAAAUCCAAUGGAGUUGAUGAUUGAUAUGAGAAGAUACAGAUUGAUAAAGGGAGAUAUGGCUUAUACGGGACCGUAUUUACCUACUGUCACACAGUAGGUAGUCUAAUUACAAGCUCAGGACAUCGAACCAUUUUCUUCUUUGACCACAGUACUGAAGGCUGCGAGAAUCGAUGACUUAGAGCUUUUUCGUCGCGACUUGGAGCUUUUCAAACUGCUAUUGGGAAGUUUUUGGAUAGUUUUUAGAUAAGUUAGUUAAUUUAGGAAGUUGAGUUGAACUUAUGACAAUCUAAUGAGAUUGUUUAUAUUUUUUUGCAAAGGAUAUGAAAUAUUCAUAUAUGUAUUGUUUUGGAAAUGAUUAUAUAUAAAUAUGGUGAAGCGUUUUAUUUAUAUAUGUUCAAGUUUUGAAACUA